rnacentral:piRNA from 1 species
UGAGUUGUGUCUUAUGUGUCCAUGCCC